rnacentral:other from 1 species
AGAGUCCUGAGAUGCUCGUGCAUACUACCGAGUUUGAGCCAACAUUUUCACGUCGGGAGCCUGAAGGUUCCGUAUGGAAAAGCACGCCUUGGAAGAGAAGGAAGUUUGUACAGACGGACAGGGCACCCACCUGCCACCGCAGGUUCAAAGCGAGUCUAAGGGACGGCAUGCCCGGGACUCUU